rnacentral:rRNA from 1 species
UGCAGUCGAGCGGUAACAGGGGGAGCUUGCUCCCCGCUGACGAGCGGCGGACGGGUGAGUAAUGCAUAGGAAACUGCCCAGUAGUGGGGGAUAGCCCGGGGAAACCCGGAUUAAUACCGCAUACGCCCUUUGGGGGAAAGCAGGGGAUCUUCGGACCUUGCGCUAUUGGAUGUGCCUAUGUCGGAUUAGCUAGUUGGUGGGGUAAGAGCCUACCAAGGCGACGAUCCGUAGCUGGUCUGAGAGGAUGAUCAGCCACAUCGGGACUGAGACACGGCCCGAACUCCUACGGGAGGCAGCAGUGGGGAAUAUUGGACAAUGGGGGCAACCCUGAUCCAGCCAUGCCGCGUGUGUGAAGAAGGCUUUCGGGUUGUAAAGCACUUUCAGUGAGGAGGAAAACCUUACGACUAAUACUCGUGAGGCUUGACGUUACUCACAGAAGAAGCACCGGCUAACUCCGUGCCAGCAGCCGCGGUAAUACGGAGGGUGCAAGCGUUAAUCGGAAUUACUGGGCGUAAAGCGCGCGUAGGUGGUUUGAUAAGCGAGAUGUGAAAGCCCCGGGCUCAACCUGGGAACGGCAUUUCGAACUGUCAGGCUAGAGUAUGGUAGAGGAGUGUGGAAUUUCCUGUGUAGCGGUGAAAUGCGUAGAUAUAGGAAGGAACACCAGUGGCGAA